UGGUACCAUGGCCGGCGGCACGAUUUGUAUAAUUUCUCCAACAUAGAGGGAUGGCCAAACAAGCAGAGCAGUAGAGCUCCUGAUGGUGGCCCCCCUUUAAGCAGUGCCCUAGACGGCCGCCUAAUUGGCCUAUAGGAAGUGUAAACAUUAGAUUUCAAAUUACAGGAAGUGUUUAGGAAGGCUGUGUAAGUCAUAUGUGGGAAGGUGUGACAAUGGCUGCAUAAACAAAGUGAUUAAACACCCAAAAAGGCAGAUAAGUGAGAUUCAGCUAAUGUCCUUUUGGUGACUAUAGUAUCAUUUUAAAAGAGAAUUGUAGUGAAUUGCACACUUCAGGCCAAAAUAACCAAAUUGGAAAAAAGUUCCGGUAUAGUGAGUAAUCC